ensembl:lncRNA
GUCGGGUGGAGGGCGCACUGCAUCACUGUACUGCCUGUAAACGUGGAUACCACAAAGGAUGCCACAUACCGCCGCUAGUCACCAGACCCAGGCAGGGCUGGGUGUGUGGCCUGUGUUUGGACGUGUCGGUGGUGAGUCUGCAGGGCACUUUUGAAGGGGGAUUCUGUAUGAGCGCUCAGGACCAGAAGAGAUGUGAGUACGUACUGCUUUCCCUGUGUUGCAGUAAAUACAGGCCUGCUCUUUUCAUGACAAAUCAGCUGCCAAGUUCUUGUUCGUCUGCCGUUACGAACAUCCCGUUUAUUCGCGGCCGGUUGCUGCAGAAACUACCGCCUCCGUACCGCACCCCCACUGAGUUUGUGUCCGACAUCUGGAUCCUGCUAGAUCUCCUGCUCAAGAGGGCAAAGUGGAAGGCUGAGUGGGAGAAACAGCUGAAAGCUCUGCGGGUCAUCUUCUCCCAGAGGCUGCAGCGAGCCUUCAGUCACACCCUCCACCCAUCUGUCCUGCGCAACCCCUUCCGCCAGAGGCCAGGCAGAACGAGAGGGAAGGAGAGAGGGACGGAGAGAGGGACGGAAAGAGGGAAGGAGAGAGGGACGGAAAGAGGGAAGGAGAGAGUGGCGGAAAGAGGGAAGGAGAGAGUGGCGGAAAGAGGGAAGGAGAGGGGGGCGGACCGAGGGAAGGAGAGAGGGAUGGAGAGAGGGGUGGAAAGAGGGAAGGAGAGAGGGAUGGAGAGAGGGAAGGAGAGAGCGGUGGAAAAAGGGAAGGAGAGAGGGAUUGAGAGAGGGGCGGACCGAGGGUUGGAGAGAAGGAAAGAGAGA